rnacentral:rRNA from 1 species
UACGGAGGGAGCUAGCGUUGUUCGGAAUUACUGGGCGUAAAGCGCACGUAGGCGGCUUUGUAAGUUAGAGGUGAAAGCCCGGGGCUCAACUCCGGAAUUGCCUUUAAAACUGCAUCGCUAGAAUUGUGGAGAGGUAAGUGGAAUUCCGAGUGUAGAGGUGAAAAUUCGUAGAUAUCGGGAGGAACACCAGUGGCGAAGGGCGGCGAUCUGGGAACAUACUGACGCUGAGGUGCGAAAGCGUGGGGAGCAACAGGG